CCUUGACGCCCCCUUGGUUCUAGAACAAACUGAAGUUCACUUAUCCAAACGCACACAGGACGCAGUAGCCAGACUCCGAUGGGAAUCCUGAGCACUUAUGAACUCGGACGUAUUGUGAUGUGGCAGAGACUCUGAAACAGAGAUGAGAGGUCUCCAGCUGAGAGAAGCCCAUGAGAGUGAAAGAUUUACUGCACAGACCCCGGGAAGACUCAAGAAUCAGAGGCACUGGUGCCACUGAAGGAAGUAACAGGAAAUGGAGUUGAGACGCUAAAAACAGUGGACAACUGGCUGAA